rnacentral:rRNA from 1 species
CCUACGGGAGGCAGCAGUGGGGAAUAUUGCACAAUGGGGGAAACCCUGAUGCAGCGACGCCGCGUGAGUGAAGAAGUAAUUCGUUAUGUAAAGCUCUAUCAGCAGGGAAGAAAAUGACGGUACCUGAGUAAGAAGCCCCGGCUAACGACGUGCCAGCAGCCGCGGUAAUACGUAGGGGGCAAGCGUUAACCGGAUUUACUGGGUGGAAAGGGAGCGUAGACGGCAGUGCAAGUCUGGAGUGAAAGGCGGGGGCUCAACCCCCGGACUGCUCUGGAAACUGUACGGCUGGAGUGCAGGAGAGGUAAGUGGAAUUCCUAGUGUAGCGGUGAAAUGCGUAGAUAUUAGGAGGAACACCAGUGGCGAAGGCGGCUUACUGGACUGUAACUGACGUUGAGGCUCGAAAGCGUGGGGAGCAAACAGGAUUAGAUACCCCAGUAGUC